CUUGCUUGAUUUAACUAUCAAGAGCCAAAGGUCUAUGGCAGCCCAAUUUGGCACAUCCCUAGCUGAGGGGCAAUCCACAAACCGACCUUCACAUUUUAAUGGGUCAAACUACACCUAUUGAAAAGUUCGGAUAAAAAUUUUUAUUCAAGUACUUGACUAUAAUAUGUGGAGUAUCAUAGUAAAUGGACCAAACACACCCACUAAAUUGAUUGAUGGUGUAUCUCUCCCUA
rnacentral:lncRNA from 1 species